AUGCCAUGGUAUAUGCAUUAUCUAAGCGAUUCUUUAAAUCUUUCCCAAGCAUCAAAUAAAGAUUCAUCAUCUCCUUGCCUAAAUGAAGUGAUUUCAUUUCUCAUUUU